UACGGGGGGGGCAAGCGUUGUUCGGAAUUACUGGGCGUAAAGGGCGCGUAGGCGGCCUUCUAAGUCGGACGUGAAAUCCCUCGGCUCAACCGAGGAACUGCGUCUGAUACUGGAAGGCUUGAAUCCGGGAGAGGGAUGUGGAAUUCCAGGUGUAGCGGUGGAAUGCGUAGAUAUCUGGAGGAACACCAGUGGCGAAGGCGGCAUCCUGGACCGGCAUUGACGCUGAGGCGCGAAAGCUAGGGGAGCAAACGGG
rnacentral:rRNA from 1 species